rnacentral:rRNA from 1 species
AUUGAACGCUGGCGGCAUGCCUUACACAUGCAAGUCGAACGGCAGCACGGGAGCUUGCUCCUGGUGGCGAGUGGCGAACGGGUGAGUAAUACAUCGGAACGUACCCAAUCGUGGGGAAUAACGUAGCGAAAGUUACGCUAAUACCGCAUACGAUCUACGGAUGAAAGCGGGGGAUCGCAAGACCUCGCGCGAAUGGAGCGGCCGAUGUCAGAUUAGGUAGUUGGUGGGGUAAAGGCUCACCAAGCCAACGAUCUGUAGCUGGUCUGAGAGGACGACCAGCCACACUGGAACUGAGACACGGUCCAGACUCCUACGGGAGGCAGCAGUAGGGAAUAUUGGACAAUGGGCGAAAGCCUGAUCCAGCCAUCCCGCGUGGUAGAUGAAGGCCCUCUGGGUUGUAAAUACCUUUUGCAAGGGAAGAAACUCUCCGAUUCAUCGGAGCCUGACGGUACCUUGCGAAUAAGCACCGGCUAACUCCGUGCCAGCAGCCGCGGU